UACGAAGGGGGCUAGCGUUGCUCGGAAUCACUGGGCGUAAAGGGUGCGUAGGCGGGUCUUUAAGUCCGAGGUGAAAUCCUGGAGCUCAACUCCAGAACUGCCUUUGAUACUGAGGAUCUUGAGUUCGGAAGAGGUGAGUGGAACUGCGAGUGUAGAGGUGAAAUUCGUAGAUAUUCGCAAGAACACCAGUGGCGAAGGCGGCUCACUGGUCCGAUACUGACGCUGAGGCACGAAAGCGUGGGGAGCAAACAGG
rnacentral:rRNA from 1 species